rnacentral:rRNA from 1 species
GAUGAACGCUGGCGGCGUGCUUAACACAUGCAAGUCGAACGGGAAUUACUUUAUUGAAACUUCGGUCGAUUUAAUUUAAUUCUAGUGGCGGACGGGUGAGUAACGCGUGGGUAACCUGCCUUGUACAGGGGGAUAACAGUCAGAAAUGACUGCUAAUACCGCAUAAGCGCACAGGACCGCAUGGUCCGGUGUGAAAAACUCCGGUGGUAUAAGAUGGACCCGCGUUGGAUUAGCUAGUUGGUGGGGUAACGGCCUACCAAGGCGACGAUCCAUAGCCGGCCUGAGAGGGUGAACGGCCACAUUGGGACUGAGACACGGCCCAGACUCCUACGGGAGGCAGCAGUGGGGAAUAUUGCACAAUGGGGGAAACCCUGAUGCAGCGACGCCGCGUGAAGGAAGAAGUAUCUCGGUAUGUAAACUUCUAUCAGCAGGGAAGAAAAUGACGGUAC